rnacentral:rRNA from 1 species
GAUGAACGCUGGCGGCGUGCCUAAUACAUGCAAGUCGAGCGAACGGACGAGAAGCUUGCUUUUCUGAUGUUAGCGGCGGACGGGUGAGUAACACGUGGAUAACCUACCUAUAAGACUGGGAUAACUUCGGGAAACCGGAGCUAAUACCGGAGAAGAUUUUGCACCGCAGGGUUCAUAAGUGAAAUACGGUCUUGCUGUCACUUAUAGAUGGAUCUGCGCUGCAUUAGCUGGUUGGUAAGGUAACGGCUUACCAAGGCAACGAUGCAUAGCCGACCUGAGAGGGGGAUCGGCCACCCUGGAACUGAGACACGGUCCAGACUACUACGGGAGGCCGCAGUAGGGAAUCUGCCGCAAUGGGCGAAAGCCUGACGGAGCAGCGCGGCGCGAGUGGUGACGGUCUUCGGAUCGUAAAACUCGGUUAUUAGGGAAGAACCUCUGUGUAAGUAGCUGUGGACAGCGUGACGGUACCUAAUCAGAAAGCAACGGCUAACUACGUG